rnacentral:lncRNA from 1 species
UAAAAACAUUUUCCUAUUUGAGCUUUGUUUUUUCUUCUUAUUCUGGGUUUCUUUAGUUAUUGGUGUUAUAACAGUAGUGUUUUCUGCUAUUUCUCACAUGCAUAUAGAAUAGCAGGUGCAUUGUGAGUUAAGUAGGCUUUGGUGAGCCAGCCAGGGUUUCUAUGGUAAAAUACAUUUCAAGUUCAAAACAAAAAACUUAGAAACCGCCCAUGCCAUCUGCCAUCUGGCUACUACCACUAAGCGUAGCCUGUCUGAACUUCUGCUGAUAUGGAUCCUCCACUUAGAAAUACCUCUCUCUCCUCCCCAUCCUGAACAGAUAAAUAUCCUUUGGGUCCUCCAGCCACAGAAGCUCCCACAAAGGAUGAGGUCUAAUGUGAGUCAUGACCACACCAAGUCCUCAAGUCUGACCUGCACAGGAAUGGAGAAAGUAUCAAUAAAUACAUCUCUACAGCAAGAUGGGAUGUGACUCACAAGGCACCUUUAUUCUUUAUUUUUUUCUCUGAUUUCCAGCCUCUCUUGUUAAUCAGACUCAUCCUUGGUGCUUCUCCCUCCUCUGUUCUCUACCCUGUGUUUACACCAGCUAGCUACCCCAUAAUGUAACUCCUGGGCAUGGAAAUUAAGCCAGAACCAUCUAAUGGCAGCUGCUGAAAAACCCAGCCUAGUUGAGUCUAUACCCAAAUGGGGUUUAUUUGUUUCAAUCAUGUCUGAUUAUUUGUGAUUUGGGGGUUUUCUUGACAACGAUUUUGAAGUGAUUUGUCAUUUCUUUCUCUAGCUCAUUUACAGAUGAGAAAACUGAGGCAAACAGGAUUAAGUGAUUUGCCCAGGGUCACAUAGCUAAUAAGUGUCUGAGAUCAGAUUUGAACUCAAGAAAUUGAGUUUUCCUGCUUGAUCACAUGGGUUGAUGGUGAUAUGACUGGGGGAUGUAGACUCUAAAUGAGCACCCUGGUGUAAAUAUCAAUAAUAUGGAAAUAGGUCUUGAUCAAUGACACAAGUAAAACCCAGUGGAAUUGAGUGUUGGCUACGGGAAGGGGUUGGGUGGAGGAGAGAGAAAGAACAUGAAUCAUGUAACCAUGGAAAAAUACUCUAAAUUAAUUAAAUAAAUUUUUCAAAAAAAAAAAGAAAUUGAGUUUU